CUCUCCAAGCCAGCAAGUGGGCAUGGCCUCAGGCCACAGAGACCAGAAGGUGGGAACAGAAGAGGAAGAACCAUGGAGAAGGAAACACAGUUGGAAGGAGAAUCACGAGAGCACCCAUCUUACUAGCUCUGACGACUGAAGGCUUAGAACAAAGUCUUUGACAUAUUUGAUUUCAGCAACUGUAGGUUCCUAAUCGCUAACUUCAUCUUAUAAGCACACGAUUUGUCAUAUCUCCUUGGCCGUCAUGAGUGAAAGUUUUUGGAACGUUGUCACUUUUGCAGAGAUGUCUCUAGUAUUCCUACUCCUGCUUAGUGGGCACAAUGACUUGUGUUUUCAUGUACAGAAAAGAAGAUCUGAUUCCUCUGUACUUUCGGGCAAAUGGGAGCGUUGUCCUAGCGACAGGUUGUCUCCCUGGCGACCACUCACCCCUGACCAGUGUCAUGGGAGAGGAUCCUACGGCACAUCGCCGGCCCUGGAAAAGACCCAAGUUCAAAAUUCAGUGCCUGCUUUCUAUGGAAUGCGUCUGGCCUUCGCCCCAUCAUGAAGUCAGAAACCAUAAAGGGA